AUGUGCAUAAAUGUGUUAUGAGACAAUGAGAUGAGUCUCCUUCCAGAACAGAACACUGAGAACACUUGCAAGAGGAGGCAGCUUCCUCAGGAAUUGUCCUUUGCAACGUUGUGUUUAAGGAAUCUUCAGAGAUGAAAACCUUUGGGUUUGUUGUUUGCAUUAUCAACUGAAAUGGAAACUCCAAAUCAGGUUCUCAUUCUUCAUGACCAUCAUGGACCCAGGUUCACGGAGUGAGAAUGUUUUAGUCUGCCAAGAGAAAAGUACAAUGGUAAAAGAAGCUGGAGAAAACUAUAUUUGCUGAAGAUAGCUGAAGAUGGGCCAUGGAAGGAAAGGCAUUAAGUGCAGCCGAAUGGUGUGGCUCUGCAGUGCUUGUUGAGAAUCUCCAGACUGUAAAACAAUAUUCUUAAUCUUCUCCAGAGAGGGGAGGCAUGACGGUAGCCAUGCCAAUUCCAUUAAGAAUGGAGAAGCAAGACUAAGAAAUUAGAUCCCUUUCUGAUGUAAUGAAGAAAUAUGUUGAUGUGCACCUAAGGGCUGGGAGAGAUAAAGAUCCUGUAUCUGAUUCAAAACAGAGUAAGCAAAGUUACUCUCCGCAUACCACCAACAGAGCCUCAACUGCCAUGGACGCUGGUUUGCCAAUUAAAGAUAUGUCUUGGUUUUCCUUUAUAAAUUAGAACUAGAUCCAAAUCAUUUUUUUUCGAAACACUGUGGGGGUUGUUUGCAUUAGGUAAUCCAAUGUGAGACUGGACUCUCCAGUUGGACUCUCAGGACAUCAAGCCUUGGCGGUUGCACAGGAACAGACCAAAUGGCGAAUGAUUGCAACAGACGACUGUCUGGCUAAGUGUAGAAGAAUAAGAAGAAGAAGAAUUUGAGAUGACUACAGAUAUGGACUCAAGACAUACGGACCAGAUCUGGCUGUGGAUUCAGAUUUUAGAUUUGGCAGUUCCAGUUUGUGCUUCUCUAUUUUUAGUAAAAGUUGAAUAGGGACUAAUUCUGCUGUCACUUAUACUAGCGUAGUCACUGACUUGCACCAGUGUAACUGGGAUCAGAACGUGGCCCACAGUUAUUCCAGUGUGGAACAAUGAACUGUUACAUUAUUAUAGCCUGUGGGACAGAUGCCUCAGAAUAGGCACAGCACAGAAGAGUCCAGGGGAAGUGCAGGAAAAAGAUUCUGGGUUGGCUGCGGGCUACUGCAGCCCCUGCUCUAACUUAUGGCAGCCUUAUCUAGGCUAUCCAUAGGCUGUGCCGCAGCCUGGAGCGGUCCAGAAUUGCCAUAACGCUCAGCACUAUAGAGAUUCAACUUCUGCCCCUAACAUGCUUCUUCCUGGCACUACCUUGGCACAUCUCUUAUGCUGAGGGCUGUGAUGGGAGCCAGACAGCAAACCUACACUGCUCUUCACUGGGGGAAUUCUGCAGCAGGCUGCAGCACCUGUACAACCCUUAUAUGCCAGCAGAGUCACCUACAGGGUGUGGGUUGGGGGCUAGAAUUGGGUAACACACGUUUAAGAAACUCCUAUCUUAUUGCAGUAUAAGGUUAUAUCUCUCAAGAGCUAAGAUCUGUCUGUAUUUUCUACCUUUUAACAUUCUUU